AUGUUCUUGUCUCAAUCUCUGAGCCGGGUAAACAACAUCCGCACCACCCUCAUCAACGCGCAGAAGGGGACCCAGUCCGUCGCCACCUUCUUCGCCUACAUGCGUGGCCUGGCGGACGAGCUCGCUGCGGCCGGCAAGCCUCUCCAGGACGAUGAGCUCGUCUCCUACAUCCUCCAUGGGCUGGACAUGGACUACCAGCCCCUGGUGUCCGCCCUCGACGCGCGCACCAUGCCGGUCUCCAUCGACGAACUCUUCUCCAUGAUAAGUAACUUCGACCAGCGAGUGGCGCUCUUCCAGUCCUCGGGC
rnacentral:rRNA from 1 species